UCAAAUUUUUCGACUUCCCCCGACCGGUAUAAAUAAAGGGAGCACGAGAGUACAUGCCGUGUAUCUAACAGUAUCUACGGAGUAUCUCCGAGUAUCUGACGAGUAUUCAUUUUAGUUACGCGAUCAGCAUUAACGAGUACUUAUUCCGCGAUUUCAUUUCGCGAUUUAUACUUUGUACUAACGACUCGCGUGUACGGCUGUACAUUAAUUUAUUAUUUUAAAUGUAUUCGACGGUUUCAACAACGAGCAAUCUCGCCCUUUAAAUCUCACGUACUAACUAUCCUCUACACAGGUAACAGUUAUUCGAUCGGAGAUGACAGGAAGAAUUUAGGUCGAAAGACAGAAAAUUUUCUGGAUCACGUUGCAUCUCGAGGUCACGAAGAAAAUUCCGAAGCAAAGCGUCGACCUUAGCCAGUGGAGCAGCGUGGACAAUCACGGAGGAGGAAACGCGUAACGCGUCCGCCGUAUUUCGAAGCCAUGGUGAGUAAGUCAAGCGGAUGAUCUGCUCUAAGAAACGUGGACGAAAAGCGCGACGAGAGACGAAAGCGUCAAAAAUCGAAGAAAAUCCGUGGAUUAAGCGAACCGCAACGCCGCGAGACGCCAACCUCGAAGGAUAAAAGACCGGAAUAAGAUGAACCAGCUUUAAUCUUCGAGCGCUUCGAAGGACGAGGUUUUACACGGGGAUCAUCCACGAUCCCGAGAACGGAUUGAAGAAGUCCUAAAAAAGAAGGGUCGAAGGAAGUUUGCGGAUACGGGAAAUCUGCCGAAAAAGUCAAACAGGAUCUGACGUCCUGUGAAUCGUGACAACGGGAUAUGAUUUUAAUGCGAUUUGCUCGACUUAAAGAGUUGAGCGGCACUGGACUGUCGGAAUCGUUUCGUUCGUUUGCCAAAGCUUGACCGCUCGUGCGUCUCAGUUAGGCCAGUAUCAAGCUCCGACGAUCGUAUAGAAUACGUUUGCAAGCUAAUAUCGUUACACGGUGUAAAUAUUCUACCGACUGCUACGAUGUAUCGUAG
rnacentral:misc_RNA from 1 species